AUACUUACCUGGCAGGAGAGAUACCAUGAUCGCGAAGGUGGUUCACCCAGGGUGAGGCUCGGCCAUUGAUCCGUUCCCUAAGUCUGUCUUUAAGUCGAAGGUAAGUUGGAAAAAUAAC
rnacentral:snRNA from 1 species